rnacentral:rRNA from 1 species
ACGGCUCAGUAACACGUGGACAACCUGCCCAAAGGUCCGGGAUAACCCCGGGAAACUGGGGAUAAUACCGGAUAAAUCACAAGUACUGGAAGGUUUUGUGGUUGAAACUUCCGGGGCCUUUGGAUGGGUCUGCGGCGGAUUAGGUUGUUGCCGGUGUAACGUACCGUCAAGCCUGUAAUCCGUACGGGUUGUGGGAGCAAGAGCCCGGAGAUGGAUUCUGAGACACGAAUCCAGGCCCUACGGGGCGCAGCAGGCGCGAAAACUCUACAAUGCAGGCAACUGCGAUAGGGGAACAUCGAGUGAUACUCAUCUUGGGUGUCUGUCCUCCCGUCUAAAAAACGGGAGUUAGCAAGGGCCGGGCAAGACCGGUGCCAGCCGCCGCGGUAAUACCGGCGGCUCGAGUGGUGGCCGAUAUUAUUGAGUCUAAAGGGUCCGUAGCCGGCCUUGCAAGUCUUUUGGGAAAUCCAGCGGCUUAACCGUUGGUCGUCCGGGAGAUACUACAUUGCUUGGGACUGGGAGAGGUAGGAGGUACUCAGGGGGUAGGAGUGAAAUCCUGUGAUCCUUUGGGGACCACCGGUGGCGAAGGCGUCCUACCAGAACAGGUCCGACGGUGAGGGACGAAAGCUAGGGGCACGAACCGGAUUAGAUACCCGGGUAGUCCUAGCCGUAAACGAUGCUCGCUAGGUGUCACAACAAUCGUGAAUUGUUGUGGUGCCGUAGGGAAGCCGUGAAGCGAGCCACUUGGGAAGUACGACCGCAAGGUUGAAACUUAAAGGAAUUGGCGGGGGAGCACA